rnacentral:rRNA from 1 species
UACGUAGGGUGCGAGCGUUAAUCGGAAUUACUGGGCGUAAAGCGUGCGUAGGCGGUUCUCCAAGUCCGAUGUGAAAGCCCCGGGCUCAACCUGGGAAUGGCAGUGGAAACUAGGGGACUUGAAUCUGGCAGAGGGGGGUGGAAUGCCGCGUGUAGCAGUGAAAUGCGUAGAGAUGCGGCGGAACACCGAUGGCGAAGGCAGCCCCCUGGGCUGAGAUUGACGCUCAGGCACGAAAGCGUGGGGAGCAAACAGG